GACGAACGCUGGCGGCGUGCUUAACACAUGCAAGUCGAACGGAAAGGCCCUGCUUUUGUGGGGUGCUCGAGUGGCGAACGGGUGAGUAACACGUGAGUAACCUGCCCUUGACUUUGGUAUAACUUCAGGAAACUGGGGCUAAUACCGGAUAUGAGCUCCUGCUGCAUGGUGGGGGUUGGAAAGUUUCGGCGGUUGGGGAUGGACUCGCGGCUUAUCAGCUUGUUGGUGGGGUAGUGGCUUACCAAGGCUUUGACGGGUAGCCGGCCUGAGAGGGUGACCGGCAAAAUUGGGACUGAGAUACGGACCAGACUGCUACGGGAGGCAGCAGUGGGGAAUAUUGCACAAUGGGAGGAAGCCUGAUGCAGCAACGCCGCGUGCGGGAUGAAGGCCUUCGGGUUGUAAACCGCUUUAGCCUGUGACGAAGCGUGAGUGACGGUAAUGGGUAAAGAAGCACCGGCUAACUACGUG
rnacentral:rRNA from 1 species